UUUAUUCUUCAAAUACCAAAAAUUGGGCGUGAAUCUUACAACUAUUCAUUGUCAUUUUUCUUGGGUUGAAAUUAGAAAUGCUUGCUUGAUCUUGGCGUGCCUGUUUCCUCACAUUUCAAUUCCAAUCAUUUCAAAACUUCGGAAUCAAGCUUGUAAAAAUAGUUUCAACACUCAAUUGAGUCUAACCAAUAAUUUCAGAUCUCCAAUGAUUGUUUCAACCCAAACAUCGUCUGACAAUGGCGGUCGGCUUUUUCUUUAAGAAAUCAUCGAUUAUGUGUUUGAGUAGCGAUUUUAAGCUCAAAAACUGACACUACAAUUAAAUUUUGAAUAGUAAUUUUCCCCAAAAGUUUCGUGUUUUAGAUCUGAGUUUUCUAUUUUAAGCUCGAAAACUUCUUUUCAAAGUUUCUCCAUCUUUUUCUAUAAUGUCUUUCUCCUUUGUUCUAUUAGAUGCUUCAAUUAAUUCCUCACGCGUUUGUCUUUUCUCACAGACAUGAAGCUGAAAUUCAAAGUUGUGCGUUGAUUUUAGGGAUUGUAUGUCCUUGAUAAGGCCAAAUGGUUCAUCUUAUUUUUCACAAGAAUUCUUAAUUUCGAAGAAGCAAUUUUGUUAUAGUGAAGGCUUCAGAUUCAUUCAAGAACUACCAGAAAACAAGUUGAGGCGGUUAAAAAGGGAUCGAGAUCCAACACCAAGUGAGUUGCAUUUGCACGUCCAUACACAUGGUAAUGAUGGAAAAUCUUUUGUUGAUGAGAAAUCCUGAAUCAUACAUGAAAAAUAUCAGGAGAUAGUACAACAACAAACACAAACUCAAUCUGAUAUUGAUCAGUGUAAAGCAUAUUAUGAAGCCGCGGGAGGAGAAAAGAAAAGAAGAGUAUAUGAUCUUGGAUCUCAAGAAAAAUGCUACUACGGGCCAUAUAGUUCAUGUAAUCGUUGAUCGGGUACACAAAUUAGUUUCCUUACCCUCGCAGCAGCCAAAUACUGGUCUUACCAACCGCCCAUUAGAUGUGACACCUACAGUUCCUAUAUCUUCUACUGCUGCUAACACUGAUGAGGUUCAUGCAUUUGGUUCUGAUGAUGACCGUAACUCUCCAGCUUCUCAUAGUUAGCCUACUUUGUUUGGACUUUAUUGUUGGUCCUUGUAGAUUUUUUGUACUUAAUGAUACUAUUAAAUACAUUAUGCUAUAUAUUUUGGACCUUGUUGAAUAUAUUGUUAAUUUAUAUUAA